UUGAAACCGCUAUGUGAGAAAUUAGACUUGUUAUUGUUGCAUACAGUAGAUUUGAUCAACACCUAUGCUAAUGCAAGCAGUGGAAUAAAUGCCUCACCAUCAGAAAAACAGUGUGGGUGAAAGCCACGGUAGAUUUCCUCUGCAUUGGCUGUUGGACCACUUCCGAUGUGUCAACGUGAAUUUAGCUCAAUCUAAAACCGUUGAUGCGAUGCCGUUUUUUAACUGUGUUUUGAUGAGCAAGCAGUAAAACGCAACCACAGAGGGGGUGUUUCAUAUGUUCAGUAUUGUCUCCGUUUUUUUUAUUUUAAGAGAUUUGAGUGCCUCAGGCACCAUGCUAAAAGGCUUCAUUUUUCUUCUGAUUAUUUGGAACUCAUCUCCUUUCUCCUCAGGAAAUUGUAAGUAACUUACUUAAUCAUUGGUAUUAUGCUGUAUUUAAAUUACAAUUCUAGGAAGUUAGUGUUGUCUGGCAAUACAUUAUUCAUAUUUUACAUUUGUUAAACUACUACUAAGUGUUUAACAGAAAACUUAUAUUUUGACAGCCACAACUCACCUUCAAUUCUCACUGGGCUGUCCAGCUGUGAUACCUUGUCAACAUUACAGAAGUGAUUUAAAAUCUUUAAAUUGGUUUUACAAGAAAGAUGAACAUCAUCAUCCAAUCCAGAUCUAUUUUCAAGAUAAAAAUGGAGUGCAACGCCAUCAGCCACACUUGCGCUACAGAACGAAGCUGUCACACAAUGGUUCCUUGGUCAUUGAUUAUUUCACAGAGGAUGAUCAAGGCCUUUACUGGUGUGAGAAACCGGACAUAGUCAUCAGCGUGAAGAAAGAAAUUCUGAAAGAAACUGAUAAGACGGUCUACGUUAUUGCAGGCAGAAGUUUUACUCAUGCAUGUCUGGGCGAAAUGACUAGCUUCAAAUGGACAUUUAAAGCAAGUAACAUGACUGAAUUAAGGAACUUGGUACAAGGAUCAGAAUCAGACUUUGUGACUUCCAACAAGUCUAUACACAUUGUAAAUGUCAAAAGAGCCAAUGUCGGGAAAUAUACCUGCUGGAAAAGUGGAUGUAAUAGCCACAGGCAAAAGCUGCUUACAAUCAACUUGUGUGUAAUAACAGUACAUCACAGUGAUGACUCAUCUGUUUCUUGUACUGUGAUGUGUGACAUGGAAUUCAGCAAAAUCAAACCAAACAGCACAAUCAAUGUGGAGACAGGCACAAGGACAAUAUCAGUGUUUGUAGAUACAAAUGGAAUAAACUGCAUUGCAAAGCAGUUGUCUGAUGGAUGUGGUUCAGUUAACAGCACUCAUGGACCAUCAAAUGCUUUAAACAAAACAACAGGUGGGUGUUUCGCUGUAUCUCUCUUUAAUGAGGUCAUAGCCCAAAGCAAAGGAAUUACACCUCUUAUGUUUUUUGGUUUUACAGAUAUACCUACAGAGCUUGAAUAUCUGAUUCCAGUUGUUUAUGGAACAUCAGCAGCCCUUACAUUUCUUAUUUUAAUCGCACUUUUAAUUUGCUACUUCAGACAAAGAUUGUGGGCAGGUAGGACAUGCAGCUCUUUGUCUUAUUGAACUUCCUGUUUAUUUGUAUAUUGGUAUGCUGCCUUGAAAAAGAAGUAGAUGUUUGACAAUGCUAGGCAUGCCCCCCCCCCUGAUUCUGUUUUAUGUCUUCAAAGUGUUUCCUGUUCACCUUUGUUGCUGUCGCUUGAAUGGGAGGGAGGAAGAGGAGACUUCAGUGGUCUAUUCAUCAAUUGUCAUCAGGAGACCUGCUAAGACAACAAACAAUCAUAUGAGCAGUGACAGUAGUUGUGUCUAUAGUGAAAUUAAAGUACAGAGAACGAUUCCAUAAAUUCCACUGUUAUGAUAGUUCCUAUAGUCAUUCAUUAGAAAAAGUGUUUGUAACUUCACCCACGCGGUUCUAAAGGGGAAUUUUAAAGCUUACAUUUAUGGGAUGUUAUACUUUACAUGCAUUGGCCAGGGAGAUAGAUAUAUUGCAUAUAUUCCCUUUAACUCCACUACAUUCAUUUGACAACUAGAGUGGGAAGAACAAGUAUUUGCUACACUGCUAAUUUUGCAGGUUUUCCUACUUACAAAGCUUGUAGAGGUCUGUAAUUUUUAUCAUAGGUACACUUCAACUAUGAGUGACAGAAUCUAAAACAAAAAUCCAGAAAAUCACAUUGUAGGAUUUUUAAAUAAUUGAUUGGAAUUUUCUUGCAUGACAUAAGCAUUUGAUACAUUAGAAAAGCAGCACUGAAUAUUUGGUACAGAAACCUUUGUUUGCAAUUACAGAGAUCAUAUGUUUCCUAUAGUUCUUGACCAGGUUUACACACUGCAGCAGGGAUUUUGGCCCACUCCUCCAUUCUAUUGGGUUCAGAUCUGCAGACUGACUAGGCCACUCCAGGACCUUGAGAUGCUUCUUACAGAGCCACUCUUAGUUGCCCUGGCUGUGUGUUUCGGGUAGUUGUCAUGAUGGAAGUCCCAGCCACGACCCAUCUUCAAUACUUUUGUCUCAACAGACCACAUGACCUCCCUUUCCUCCUCUGGAUCAUCCAGAUGGUCAUUGGCAAACUUCAGACGGCCUGGACAUGCGCCGGCUUGAGCAGGGGGACCUUGCGUGUGCUUCAGAAUUUUAAUCUAUGACGCCGUAGUGUGCUUACUAAUGGUUUUCUUUGAGACUGGGGUCCCAGCUCUCUUCAGGUUAUUGACCAGGUCCUGCCAUGUAGUUCUGGGUUGAUCCCUCACUUUCCUCAUGAACAUUGAUGCCCCACAAGGUGAAAUAUUGCAUGGAGCCCCAGACCAAUAGAGAGAUUGACUUUCAGCUUGAACUUCUUCCAUUUUCUAAUAAUUGCGCCAACAGCUGUUGCUUUCUCACCAAGUUGCUUGCCUAUUGUCCUGUAGCCCAUCCCAGCCAUGUGAAGGUCUACAAUUUUAUCCCUGAUGUCCUUACACAGCGCUCUGGUCUUGGCCAUUGUAGAUAGGUUUGAGUCUGUUUGAUUGAGUGUGUGGACAAGUGUGUUUUAUACAGGUAACAAGUUCAAACAGGUGGAGUUAAUACAGUCAUGAGUGGAGAACAGGAGGGCUUCUUCAAGAAAAACUAACAGGUCUGUG